rnacentral:lncRNA from 1 species
AUGAUGAUAUCAAUCAAGUGAAGCAGCUAUCACAGGGUCUGGAACAUAGUACAUCCCAGCCUUCUUGCACAUAGAAACACUACACAGCACUUCAGCUGUAUGUUUGGGGGCCAUUUUAAACAGCAAAAUCAUCAACAGGAAGCAGAAAAUUGUAAAAAUUGUGGCACUAAAUAGACCAUGUAAAGGACACAUGUUUGCAAUAAGAAAGCUGAAACAAGAAGGGGGAGUGUCACCUUAUUUGAUCCAGCUAGAAACUCAGGUGCUGGUAUUCCAGCAACACUCAGGCGGCUGCUCCAGGAGGCUGCAGAGGGGUCCUUUUUAGCCGUCAACAAAACUGGCUAUGGUCACGCCCAUUGGGAAACUCAUUGCUGCCUUCAAGGACUCAGAAGCUGUAGGAAUAUUCAGGCACAGACACCAGACCCAGCUUCAUCUCUAACUUGUGGCAAAGGACAGUACAUCCUGGGAUGGGACCCUAUGCUCCCCUAUGCCAUUUAGACAGAGCCUGGGGAGAGUGACUUCCCAGGGUAUCCAUGUUGGAAUCUCUCAUUUGAUUCUUAUUCAAAUUUAGGUUCUGUCAAUAGAAGAUACUAAAGAAAGAAAGCCAGGAGAAGAAAAGGGACUUCUUUCUUCAAGGUCUAAGCUGUUCUAAUAGCAUUAUUCUGGGAAUGGCAUCUUCCACUCCUCCUAGUACAAAGAACCUGCUUCCUCAUACCCCGUCAAGGAACUGCAGCAUCCAGAAUACAUUCAUACCUAACACCUCAAUAGAUGACAUGUUAUCCAUGGAAUCGAGUUCAAAGCCCUCUGUAACGUGGCUAUAUCCCAUCUACUCUGAGCUGAUGUUCAGCAGGUGAUGGCCACAGUGGCAGAACCUAGGAAGCCAAGAAGAAACCAGAGAAUGGAGACACAUGGCAGCAAUGGCAAGUCAUCAGACCCAGGAUUUCCCAAAGAACACUGGUCCAGGAAGAUGCUCUGUGAAAAAGUGUUCCCUGGUCGGAGAAAUUUGUGAAACACUUUGCAUAAUACUUAAAAGAAUGUAUGGCACAUCAAAGGUAAUAUGCAAUAAAAGAAUUCAUUUUUUUAAAACCAA